UACAGAGGUGGCAAGCGUUGUUCGGAAUUACUGGGCGUAAAGGGCGCGUAGGCGGUUCGUUAAGUCCUGUGUGAAAUCCCCCGGCUCAACUGGGGAACUGCACAGGAAACUAGCGGGCUUGAGUUCGGGAGAGGGAAGCGGAAUUCCGGGUGUAGCGGUGAAAUGCGUAGAUAUCAGGAGGAACACCGGUGGCGAAGGCGGGACUCUGGGCCGAUACUGACGCUGAGGAGCGAAAGCUAGGGGAGCAAACGGG
rnacentral:rRNA from 1 species